AACGAACGCUUGCGGCGCGCCUAAUACAUGCAAGUCGAGCGAGAAAGUACUUCGGUAUGAGUAAAGCGGCGGACGGGUGAGGAACACGUAGAUAAUCUGCCUUAGAGUGGGGGAUAACUAAUCGAAAGAUUAGCUAAUACCGCAUAAGACCACAAGGGCUUCGGCUCAAGGGGUUAAAGGAGCAAUUCGCUCUAAGAUGAGUCUGCGUCCGAUUAGCUAGUUGGUGAGGUAAUGGCUCACCAAGGCAACGAUCGGUAACUGGUCUGAGAGGAUGACCAGUCACACUGGAACUGAGACACGGUCCAGACUCCUACGGGAGGCAGCAGUAGGGAAUAUUGCACAAUGGACGAAAGUCUGAUGCAGCGACGCCGCGUGAGUGAUGAAGGCCUUAGGGUUGUAAAACUCUGUGAUAAGGGAAGAUGAUGACGGUACCUUAUCAGAAAAGACCGGCUAACUUCGUGCCAGCAGCCGCGGUAACAC
rnacentral:rRNA from 1 species